UAAAGAGUGUAAAAUUUAGGUAGUAUUAGAUGGCUUAAAACUUAAAAAAUUUGGCGGUGUUUUAAUCUUAUUAGAGGAACCUGUUUUGUAAUCGAUAAUACACGACAAAUCUUACUUAAGUUGGGGCUUGUAUAUCGUUGUGAUAAUAAUGUUUUAUAAUUAUUAUUAGGGGUAAUUUUAUUUUUGAUAUCAGAUCAAGGUUCAGUUUAUGCUUAAGGAGAAAAUGGGUUACAAUAUAAAAAUAUACUAUGAAAUUUAUACUUUAAAUAUAGAGGAAAGAGGAUUUAAAAGUAUUUUUAUAAUAAUAUGUUAAUUUGAAUUGGCUCUAAAACAUGC
rnacentral:rRNA from 1 species